rnacentral:rRNA from 1 species
GAUGAACGCUGGCGGCGUGCCUAAUACAUGCAAGUCGAGCGAACGGAUGAGAAGCUUGCUUCUCUGAUGUUAGCGGCGGACGGGUGAGUAACACGUGGAUAACCUACCUAUAAGACUGGGAUAACUUCGGGAAACCGGAGCUAAUACCGGAUAAUAUUUUGAACCGCAUGGUUCAAAAGUGAAAGACGGUCUUGCUGUCACUUAUAGAUGGAUCCGCGCUGCAUUAGCUAGUUGGUAAGGUAACGGCUUACCAAGGCAACGAUGCAUAGCCGACCUGAGAGGGUGAUCGGCCACACUGGAACUAAGACACGGUCCAGACUCCUACGGGAGGCAGCAGUAGGGAAUCUUCCGCAAUGGGCGAAAGCCUGACGGAGCAACGCCGCGUGAGUGAUGAAGGUCUUCGGAUCGUAAAACUCUGUUAUUAGGGAAGAACAUAUGUGUAAGUAACUGUGCACAUCUUGACGGUACCUAAUCAGAAAGCCACGGCUAACUACGUG